rnacentral:rRNA from 1 species
GUAGCAGAUAGCUCAGUAACACGUGGCCAAACUACCCUAUGGAUCCGAAUAACCUCGGGAAACUGAGGCUAAUGUGGAAUAGCGUUCAUCGCCUGGAGUGGCACGAACGCGAAACGUUACGGCGCCAUAGGAUGUGGCUGCGGCCGAUUAGGUAGACGGUGGGGUAACGGCCCACCGUGCCCAUAAUCGGUACGGGUUGUGAGAGCAAGAGCCCGGAGACGGUAUCUGAGACAAGAUACCGGGCCCUACGGGGCGCAGCAGGCGCGAAACCUUUACACUGCACGCGAGUGCGAUAAGGGGACUCCGAGUGCGAGGGCAUAUAGUCCUCGCUUUUCACGACCGUAAGGUGGUCGUAGAAUAAGUGCUGGGCAAGACCGGUGCCAGCCGCCGCGGUAAUACCGGCAGCACGAGUGAUGACCGCUAUUAUUGGGCCUAAAGCGUCCGUAGCUGGCCACGCAAGUCUAUCGGGAAAUCCGCGCGCUUAACGCGCGGGCGUCCGGUGGAAACUGCGUGGCUUGGGACCGGAAGACCAGAGGGGUACGUCCGGGGUAGGAGUGAAAUCCCGUAAUCCUGGACGGACCACCGGUGGCGAAAGCGCCUCUGGAAGACGGAUCCGACGGUGAGGGACGAAAGCUCGGGUCACGAACCGGAUUAGAUACCCGGGUAGUCCGAGCUGUAAACGAUGUCUGCU